rnacentral:lncRNA from 1 species
UCUUCCGCUAGUGGCUGCAAAGGAACCUCUGCAGCCUGAACUCCGGUGCGCCGGGUUUUGAGAGCUGCCACCAGCUCAGGGAGGGAGUGGAACGCGCGGCAGCCACAGAGCACAAGGUUCAUAGCCAGGAUUGGUCGCAAGUAGGGAGCUUUUGCCACUCCGCCGGGACCUUCGGACGUCGGCAGUGGAGCAAGCCCAGUUCUCCUAGGCGCUGUGCUUGGAUUCAUAUUGCAUUGUUGACAAUUCUCACAGGUGAAAUUCGGCCAGAGCUCACUUGGAAAUUUCUGCAGAUUGGUGUAAGAGAAUCAGAUUCUUCAUGCUCAGAUAAAGAAAACAAUCCUCGUGGUUCUUAUUGAAAAGAAGAGGGAUUAUUGACACAUACUAAUUCCCCAGCAUGUGGCUCUCAGAACUGCCCUAAGAGGUAAGCUCCCUACAAGGGAUGGUUUUCUUAUCUGUAUUUUGUUUUUUGUAGUAGCCUCAGUUUUUAUGGA